GGUAUCAUGCCUUAUCGACAAAACUGUUCCUCUGUUCAGAUUUCCUAAUUCUUUCUCUUCCUCUUCCUCUUCCUCUUUCUCAUUCUUCACUACCCUCACCCAAAUUUCACUUCCAUAUACAUGUUCCCCUUCUCUCGCUCCUUUCAAUUUCCCACCACCGAAAACGAGUUCAUGAACUUGGUCCAACACCUCACCGGCCCUUCUUCUUCCUCCUACUCCUCCACCUCCCACUCGCGGCGAUGUCUUGUCGGUAGUGAGACAGGCUUCCAUAGUCAGAUAGAAAUAGAGAGAGGGAAAGUUCAAUGACCUUAUGAGUAUGGUUCAAGGCUUCGAAAUGGGUCAAUUUCCUGGGAUUUUAUCACCGGCAUCGGCGACUCUGCCACUGAUCCAACCUAGGUUAUGGAUAGCCUCUAAGAAGGAUGAAUACCAAGGUAUAUUUAAUUUUUAUUCUAUUUUAUUUUGAAUUUGUUAUGUUUCUUUCUCUUGGCUUCAAAAUCGUUCGUCAAAUCUCCUAUUAAAUCAAAUACUCAAACAGCUUCCGAAGCUUCUAUGGACAGAUCUUCGACUUCUUCGUUCUUGAAAUUCUCUAUCCCAAUCAAAUCGACAUCAUAACUGUUUCACCGAUUCUCACUCUCCGGGUCUCUCUAUAUAUAUAUAUAUAUAUAUAUAUAUAUAUAUUAUUCAGAAAUUAAAAUUUGAUAACAUACAAGGGUAAAUAUAUAAUUUUAUCUAUUUAGUCAACCCUAAAAACAUACAAGGGUACUAACUGUUACUUAAAAAAUUAGAGGGGAGGUGAGUGGUAUUAUGAUUAUCUAGAUGGGGUGUCACUGUAUUUUACUCUUUAUGUUUUAUAGUUCUUAUGUGAUUUUAAAUUAAUUAAGAUGUUUCGAUAGAUUAUUAUUAAGAUAUGAGUUUUUUAUAAUUCAUGCUUGCUCGAAAAAGUUUUGAUGGGUUAUAGUUAAUCUUUAAAUUUUCAUAGUCUAUGCUUGCCCACGUUAAUUGUAAAAUUACUAAAUUAAAGGGAAUGGAGAUCAAAAUCAUAGUUAAGUUAUAAAAAUAAAAAAGAUUGAAUUAUUUGUUAUGUUUAUUUCUUAAUAGAUUCGAUUUCCUAGAUUGCGUCCUUAUUAUUAGUUAGUUUAAUUAUAGUUAAACAAUUCUCAAUCUUUAUUUCUAAUUCGCCUAAAAUAGAUAUUAACGAUACAUAAAAAUUAAUUUAGUCUCUGUGUGUUCAAUUUGUAUUUGUGAAUUUUUUAAUUUAACACUAUAUAUUUGUAGUUACAUAUUUUUAUCACAUCAUGGUCUACAAACUUUCAAAAUCAAAUAAAAACUUAGACAUAUAAAGGAGUUUUAGCAUAUGUAUAUUUCGUGCUUUUGUGAAGUACGGACCUUAUUAUAAAAUUAUUAUAUUGUUGGUAUUUUUAUUAUAUUUUUUGUAGCUAUUUUGUUGGAUAUAAUAUUUAAUUAUUAAUUAUUUGUUGAUUUAAUUAUGGAAUCAUGUGGUUGGUAAUUUUAUUAUAUUGUAUUUAUAUCUGAAUAAUAUCAAUAUUAAUAUUAAGUGGAAUAAAUAAUACUCCUAUGUAAUUAAUUAUUAAUAAAAAAAAAUAUAAAUAAGUUAUAAAACUUUUGUUAUAAAUAUGUAUUACUUCAUAUUAUUAACAUGGGAAUUGUUAAACCCAUGACACUUUUUAUUAUUUCCACAAUAAAAGUGUCGCUGUAGAUAUAUAGCGACGGUGAAAACCGUUGCAAUAGGAUCUAUAGUGACACUUUUAUUAUGAAAAUAAUAUUUUCUGUUGUGGAUUUAACAAUUUCCUAUUAACAUAUAUGUUACGAAAUAUACCAAAGUUAAUUUAUACUAAAAUGUAAAAUCAAUAUAUUAUAUAUAGGCAUCACUGUCGAUCCUUUAAAUUGCAUAAUUGGGUGAGUCAACUCACUCAAUUUGAAAUCAAUUAGGAGUUAACUCGUUCAAUUAGAACAAAACUCACGCUAAAUUGGUAUCAUGCCUUAUCGACAAAACUGUUCCUCUGUUCAGAUUUCCUAAUUCUUUCUCUUCCUCUUCCUCUUCCUCUUUCUCAUUCUUCACUACCCUCACCCAAAUUUCACUUCCAUAUACAUGUUCCCCUUCUCUCGCUCCUUUCAAUUUCCCACCACCGAAAACGAGUUCAUGAACUUGGUCCAACACCUCACCGGCCCUUCUUCUUCCUCCUACUCCUCCACCUCCCACUCGCGGCGAUGUCUUGUCGGUAGUGAGACAGGCUUCCAUAGUCAGAUAGAAAUAGAGAGAGGGAAAGUUCAAUGACCUUAUGAGUAUGGUUCAAGGCUUCGAAAUGGGUCAAUUUCCUGGGAUUUUAUCACCGGCAUCGGCGACUCUGCCACUGAUCCAACCUAGGUUAUGGAUAGCCUCUAAGAAGGA
rnacentral:lncRNA from 1 species